GGGGAUAAUAAUUGCAGCAUAAAAUUAUAGUUAUAGUGCUGGCCUCUAAUAUAUAAAGUGGGGUUCUUAAAAGUUGAAAAACAAAAGCACCUGCCUCCAAAAGAGAACUAAUAGAAUGUGCAGCAAAAAAAAAAAAAAAAAAAAAAAAAAAAAAAAAAAAAAGAUCCCAGAGCCACAGCCAGAGUGGGGCAAGGCGCUGACUAAGCUGUCGUCAACACGCCACUGUCCGUGGGGCUGGGGGGACUAAAAGAGCUAAUUAGCACACUCUAAAACCCUCUAUGGGGCUUUGGGGUCACGGGCACCCCUGCCUGGGUGCUGCCACGUUCCCCUCGGGGCAACAUGCCUUGUCUGGCCGUAGUCUAUGCCCAGAGACUACUCCUGCGUCAGCGCUGGAAGCAGCCAGCCCGACCCCGUGCUUGCUCGCUG
rnacentral:lncRNA from 1 species